rnacentral:rRNA from 1 species
UUUGCAUAUCCAAUAAGCGGAGGAAAAGAAACCAACCGGGAUUGCCUUAGUAACGGCGAGUGAAGCGGCAAAAGCUCAAAUUUGAAAUCUGGUACCUUCGGUGCCCGAGUUGUAAUUUGGAGAGGGCAACUUUGGGGCCGUUCCUUGUCUAUGUUCCUUGGAACAGGACGUCAUAGAGGGUGAGAAUCCCGUGUGGCGAGGAGUGCGGUUCUUUGUAAAGUGCCUUCGAAGAGUCGAGUUGUUUGGGAAUGCAGCUCUAAGUGGGUGGUAAAUUCCAUCUAAAGCUAAAUAUUGGCGAGAGACCGAUAGCGAACAAGUACAGUGAUGGAAAGAUGAAAAGAACUUUGAAAAGAGAGUGAAAAAGUACGUGAAAUUGUUGAAAGGGAAGGGCAUUUGAUCAGACAUGGUGUUUUGUGCCCUCUGCUCCUUGUGGGUAGGGGAAUCUCGCAUUUCACUGGGCCAGCAUCAGUUUUGGUGGCAGGAUAAAUCCAUAGGAAUGUAGCUUGCCUCGGUAAGUAUUAUAGCCUGUGGGAAUACUGCCAGCUGGGACUGAGGACUGCGACGUAAGUCAAGGAUGCUGGCAUAAUGGUUAUAUGCCGCCCGUCUUGAACCACGGACCAAA